rnacentral:lncRNA from 1 species
GAGAGUGCUAGCUCGCAUGAAUACCUUCUUUUUGACUAAUCUGGAUCCUUUCUUCAAAUCUCUAGAAUCUUUUUAGAGAUUGAAAAUAGACUUCUAGAGGAGAUUAAGAGGUAGAAGAUAGAUGGAGAGGAAAAUAAUUUUUUUCUUAUUUUUUCUCUUCUUCUCAAACCCAAAUGUAUAAAACUCUAGAAAAUAGAUUUUGGGCACACCCCA